CAGUGGAUAGGGGAACCUAAGAGCAGAAAUAUCUCGUUCAGGAUCAAGCCGAGUGCUCCUUGCUAACACUUUCCCUAUUACUGCUUCCAGGAACCAAAGCAUCUGCACUUGUAUGCUCUUAAACUAAUUUAUGGUGGGAAUUAUAUUUUGGCUUGUCAACUCUCAAGCCAUAAAACAAAGUUUAUUGGAAUCACGUGCUUCUAAAUAGCCACUCAGGACCUAUCUCUGCGGAACCAUAAAUAACCUUCUGCUUUAAACUUUUAUUCACUAAAUAAAGGUUCACUGCAACUGUUCUAUCAAAUUUAAAUAGUUCCAAAUAUUCAGGAUGCAUGGGAGGCUAUAUUCAUAUCAAUACCCGGGUCUUUUCAAACAACACCUUUUCAGAGAAGGUUGUUUAAGUUGAGAGAUAGUGCUCCAAAUUUUCAAUUUGGGAAAAGGACUGUGGGCAUUUCUUACGGUUCUUUCGCUGCGUUCGCUGAGGAACCCAUAAGAUGAAGAUAUCUGUAUGCAUGCAAACCCUUCGGUUUGCCCAAAUCAAACAGAAGAGAUUAAGCGUGUGGGCCCAGCAGGUCAGUGACUCUGAGCACCCUCCUUCGGAUCCCGCCAGCAGGCAGUUGGGCAGAGUCCGGAUACUUCCGUGCACUUGCAGCAGCUUCUGUACCGCUCCAGGGAGAGAACAGGAGGGUGAGUCACGUGCCCCUCCCACCACCCACUCGACCGCGCCGCCCCCAACUCCUACUCAGGGCAUUUGGUGCAGAGCUGGAACUCGCGUGAGACUUGUCCUACAGCGCCUUCUCCUGGACAAGAGGCCAGACAGCAAAAAAAAAAAAAAAAAAAAAAAAGGCAACCCUUAUUCAGAAACCAUCAAAGGCCUAUGCCUUUUUCUAAUUGGAAGAAUGCAGCUACAUUGAACUGAAGAUACUAUUCUCUUGUCGGGAAAAGCUCCUGGUGAAUCAAAUCCCUUUAUUCUUUCACAGUAUUCCCAACAAUUCCCCAUUUUUGUCUUGACCACAGCAACCAGUUUCCAAAGACACUGGGACCAUAGCAAACACCUUCAGGAAAAUAUCUGCAGUUUGUUUAUUCGUUCUAUCGAUCUCAACGAGCUGUAUCCUUGCCUCCUAAAGCACUGCAAUUCGCUACACAGCGAAAGUAAGGGUCGAGAAGAUCAGAGCUUCUGAGAUUGGUUUUAGGUGAACUUGGGUCAAGAACAAACCCAUUUUUCCCAAACUAGAUGAAGCAGACAUAACAAGCCCAUAAAUUUUUGAAGGGUCCCAUAUAUAUAGUUUUUAAACACCUGAUAAGAAGAUUGUGUUUCCUUUGGCACCAAGCCUGUUCUGGGUUUGUUGUUGUUGUUGUUGUGUUUGUUUGUAUGUUUGUUUUGUUUUGUUUUUUAAUUUAGGUUUGCAGUGAAUAGACUAGGAAAAGGGAUAUUAAAAUGAUUGAAAGUAACAUGACUAAGUCAUGAGAAAACCAGUGGGAAAGAGAUUUUUUUUCUAUAAAUGGAAGUCUGGAGUUAAGGAAAGAUGAAUUGUAAAUACUCUCCAAUAAAUAGAGGGAAAAGAUUAAGUUUAAUUUUCUUCCUGUCUCUUUUCUAUGUCUUUCCCCUCCCCCUCUUUCCCCUACCCCGAACCGGGCUUGGCUGGCUGAUUAUUUCACUGCGCAUGCGCUUACAGCUUUGUGCCCUAGUCGUGGACCUGGUUUUGGUGCAAAGUUCUGCGCCUACACUGUACUACAAUGGUAAAUGGGGCAAAAAAAAAUCAUAUAGGCUUGAUGUCAUUCAUUACAAUUGAAACUGAAAUUAGCCCAAGAAAGCCAGGAAAGAGCCUUUCCUUCCACUACCCACCGAAAAAGAAAGAAAAAAAAUUUAAAUAAUCAUAAACCCAGUCCUUCCCGAUUUACAUUUCCCUGUAAGGAGAGUCGCAGUCUAACUCUAGCCUCCCAUUUAUAGAGAAGAUCUAAAGUCUAACACGCAGCUUCCUUGGAGCCUUUUUUUUUUUUUUUUUUUUUAAAUUAAGGCCACAUACUCCUACUGAGGUGAAUUUUUCUCCUCUGGAUUCCUCCAUUCUUUACCAAACAUAAAUGACCAUUGCUGAGAAGGACUUUCCACUGGAAAGAGAAUUACAUGUUUUAAGUUGGAUAUAAAUUGGUAUUGGGACCAUUAUGAUGUUUUGCGUUUCCUUUAACUUCCUGUCCUCCUCCCCUCCCGCCCCCUUCAAACUCUGCCUUCCCUGCCGCACUGCAGCAGAGCUGUAAAUACCUUUAACAGCUGCCUGCCAACCAAGGAGUGAAAUACUGUCUUUGUUCAGAUUUUCCCUGCUUCUAAGACUCAGAAAGCAGAACUCAUGCGAAAUAUGCUUAUUUGGAAGGAAUUUUGGCAAAGAAAUAAGCUGAAUUUUGUAUCCUGUGACUUAGACACGUUUAUUUUCUAUUUCUCUUUUUUAAAAUCCCUUUUCCAUUGUGUUGACAACGUUAGUGACACCCCCACCAUCCCUUGACACUACAGAGCACUAGAACACAAAUUCAUAGGCUAUAUAUAGACAGAGAUUUUGGCCAAGCACGAAGGGAGUUUUUUACAAAAGCAGGCAAUUGCUUUCAGCUUCCAGGCAUUUUUGGUUUCGUUUCAUUUCAACAUUCAUUAAUAGUGGCUCUUUUGGCUGCAGCAUAGGUAUUAAAUGUGUUUCUGAUUGACUUAAGAGCUUCCAUCCAACACGUUUUAGGAAUUAUUCAUUUCCCUAAAUGCAAUUGGUCACUUACUUUUACUAAGCACUUGAAAAUAUAUUGUGGCAUUUGGAAUUAUCUCUAGGUCCACCAUGUCUGAAUCCAUGACAUCAUCCUCAGCUGCGUGAAACCGUAUGCCUCCAUCACUGAUUCCUCUUUGGAUGCACAUCUAUUGAGUUCAGUGAUAUUGUAUAACGGAAACUAAUACAAUAGCUUUAAUACUUAAGACAUAUCUAUGAAAUAUUUCUUUAUAGUUGCAACUUAUCUUUCUGGUCGUCUUAUAACUUAUUAAAGAUGGAAGAGUGGAAAUGGGGGAGGGGCAGAAUGUGAAAUGACAUAGUUCAGUGGCUUCUUUAUAACUAAAGGAUUAUAUUACAAAAAUUAAAGAAUAAUAUCAGUGUUUGAAUGUUUCUCAGAAUAAGAACUGCUUAUAAAAUAGGUCAAAAGACUCAUUAUUUCCGGAGGUUACUGAACGAUGACAGUCAUUUCUCUUCAGCCACCUCACUAACAAAUUGUAAACCUCCAUUUUGAAAUCAAAGCGAUUUUGGUGUUAAUUGCUAAAGAAAAAAAAAUCUAAAAAGAUGCUAAUUCUUCCAAGGUUUAAAGGGAAAUGUCAAUGCAGAUAUUUAGGGAAAGAAUAGUAUUAGGAAAAAAGCAUAGUAUGUAGGCUAGAUGAAAAAGUCAACUUUGAAAAAUCCUUUACGCAAUGCAGGGUGUAUUUUCCAUAAUUUCGAAUCCUUUAUAUUCGUUGUAUUAUUACAAGUUUACCACAUAAAUUUAUGACUAUUGGAUCCGAAAAUCUUUUUUAAAACUAUGUCAUUCCUUUCGGUAGUAAAGAUUUGGGAACUAACUGGAGUAAGAUGAGUAGGGAAGGCUGCAAUAUUUUGUUUAAUGUUCAAGAACUCCAAAACAGGUUGAGUCUUUUUAAUCUUAUAAAUGGUGGCUGCUCUUAAACUAAAUUGACAAUAUAUACAGAAAGCAAAAAUUCCACUACACAUUGAAAAACAAGAGUUGUUUAAUCAUAAAACUAUUUAGCAUUUAAAAAAUCUAUUGACCCUAGCAAUUCCCAAAUCAUAUUUUCGUUAUUAGAAGAGAAUGAACUUUUGUAGGCUGAGUUUAUAGAAUAACUAUUUUCCACUUACUUCUUCUAAGCACUUGGAAAUAUACUGCAUUACAAAAUAUCCGUGGAAAACCUUUGAGGAUUAGUAGGAAAUAGGGAGACAAAUAUUAUUUUCGGCCCAUUUGAAAGCCACUGUGCAAAUACAUGCAAAAUUUUUGAAGUCCAAUUCAUUAAAAUUUAGCUUCCAAAACGUUACAGUGACAUUCAUUCUUGCAAAUUUUUAAUGACACCCCCACACCUACCAAUUUAACCUUUAAUCUGAGCAGAAAACACCUGUUAACCUUUCUGGUUUGAGACUGACUUCUCAGAAUCACGGACAAAUCACAAAACUUCGUACAAUCAUUCAAUACGUCGAAAGGCCUUUAUUACACCCAAAACCAAGCUUUAGACUUACAGGAAAAUCUCCGCACCCCGUCUUCCAACGCGCGCCAGCGAGGGGUGGGGGUGUCCAUUCUGCCGCACCUCCACUCUCAACAUGCGCAGCGCCCAAGGCCAUUCUGACACCCUGGACUAUUGCUCUACAGGCCAGGCUCAGCGCCCUCCUCUGCCUACUUUAUCCAAAGAAAGGAAGUAACCUCUGGGACAGGUGGUGGAGAUUAGGGUCUUUUUGGUCUGGGGUAGAGGGGGCGGGGAGCUGUCAAUUAGGUUUCGGAAACUCUAUGUCUGGGAGCUAAAGACAGACCCUCAGGCAGGCAGAUCCAACCCAACAAGUCACUUUUAUGACUUUUUCUCAAGUCAUUCUCCAGCAGCUCCCUGGCGGGGAAGCACCGCAGUGGGGCUCCAGGGUUAAGGGGGUGGCGGUCAGAGAGUGGGGGAGGGGACGAAAUAAAAAUUGAAAAGAAAGAAUAAAAACAACUCUUACCCGAUAUUUGGAGAGGAGGAGGUGGAGAAACACCCCGGCUGCUGCUGUAAUCCAUUAGGCAUUGGGAUGAAUAUAAUCCCAUCACCAGAAACCAAAUAAUAUCUUAAAAAAAAUUUUUUUUAAAAAGGAUAAAAGGAGGAAAGUAAAAAUAAUCGAGGAGCAAACAGGUAGAGUCUGGAGUGGACUAAAAACCCUGGACUGCGGUGCAAGCUCGCUAUAGGCGCCUGGCAGGCUGGUUAGCUGCUAGUCACCGGGUGGCGAGAUGCUCAGCAAUAGAUUCUUCUAAGAGCUUGGAGUCAGAGAGAGGCAGCCAGAAGCUGGGAGCGGGAGGGAUUUUUAAUGGUGCUAGCCGUCCCGAAAUCAGCACACACGCAUCCCAGCGACUAGAAUACACCUCUGCGGAGACAAAGGAUUCAAUGAAAAUUGGCAGUGUGAUGAGACUAUUCUCCAACAUAAGAACACAGAGACCACCUGAAAAAGAAUACUUUUGGUCAUUCAAAUAAAUGGAAAGGGUUCUUAAGAAGGCUUUCAACCCUCUGACACUGGACUAUAUAAUAUGCCAAAAUUAAGCACCAAAGUAUGAUUAUUUGUAAAAUUUUCUGAGAAAUAAUAUCAAAGACCAGUUCAUCUACUUUCUUUUGUGUUGUUAGUCUGGUAUUAUCUAUUAAAAGAAGACAUUUAUUUCCAUCUGUCUUAUUUUCAGAUUAUAGGGCAAUUCUUCCUACCAAAAAAUGUAUUCAUAGUUGCACAUUUAUUUCUGGGAAGUGUUAAGUAACAUUCUGGAUUGCAUAAGGCCUUACAAAGUGUCUGUUGCUGAGUCUGCUUUUCAGUUAACAAUCUUUAUGUUUCCCAUUUGCCUUUGUGCCUCUCUAGCCCUUCUGUUCAUCCUGAUAUCCUAAGUAGAACUGAAUCUAUAGCAUU